rnacentral:rRNA from 1 species
AACAGGAUUAGAUACCCUGGUAGUCUCGGCCCUAAACGAUGAUCACUAGGUGUCAGGGGGUUUCCCUUGGUGCCGCAGCUAACGCAUUAAGUGAUCCGCCUGGGGACUACGGCCGCAAGGUUGAAACUCAAAGGAAUUGGCUGGGGCCCGCACAAGCGGUGGAGCAUAUGGCUUAAUUCGAUGCAACGCGAAGAACCUUACUCAGGCUUGACAUGUAGCUGCAAGCUCCCCAAAAGGAGCCGCUUUCGAAGGUGCUACACAGGUGGUGCAUGGCUGUCGUCAGCUCGUGUUGUGAAAUGUUGGGUUAAGUCCCGCAACGAGCGCAACCCUCAUGUUAUGUUGCCAGCGAGUAAUGUCGGGAACUCAUAACAAACUGCCUAUGUAAAUAGGAGGAAGGUGGGGAUGACGUCAAGUCAUCAUGCCCCUUACGCCUGGGGCUGCACAUAUGCUACAAUGGAUGCUACAAACAGUUGCGAACCCGCGAGGGGAAGCUAAUCUGAAAAAAGUAUUCUCAGUUCGGAUUGGAGUCUGCAACUCGACUCCAUGAAGCCGGAAUCGCUAGUAACCGCAGGUCAGCAUUACUGCGGUGAAUACGUUCCCGGGCCUUGCACACACCGCCCGUCACGUGACGAAAGUUGGUUUUGCCCGAAGUCGUUGAGCUAACCGCAAGGAAGCAGACGCCGAAGGUAAAGCCGAUGAUUGGCGCGAAGUCGUAACAAGGUAACC